CGCAGAUAUCGGAAGGAACACCAGUGGCGAAGGCGGUGCUCUGGGUUGGGCCUGACGCUGAGAGACGAAAGCUAGGGGAGCGAACAGGAUUAGAGACCCUGGUAGUCCUAGCCCUAAACGAUGGAUGCUAGGUGUGGGUCCGAGAAGGCUCUGUGCCGCAGUUAACGCGCUAAGCAUCCCGCCUGGGGAUUACGGCCGCAAGGCUAAAACUCAAACGAAUUGACGGGGCCCCGCACAAGCAGCGGAGCGUGUGGUUUAAUUCGAUGCUACACGAAGAACCUUACCUGGGUUUGACAUGUACGUGGUAGAGAAGCGAAAGCGGAUCGACCCUUCGGGGAGCGUACACAGGUGCUGCAUGGCUGUCGUCAGCUCGUGCCGUGAGGUGUCGGGUUAAGUCCCGUAACGAGCGCAACCCUUGCCCUUAGUUACAAGUGUCUAAGGGGACUGCCGGCGGUAAGCCGGAGGAAGGUGGGGAUGACGUCAAGUCAGCAUGGCCCUUAUAUCCAGGGCUACACACACGCUACAAUGGUCAGUACAAAGGGCAGCGAAGCCGCGAGGUGAAGCGAAUCCCAACAAAGCUGAUCUAAGUUCGGAUUGCAGGCUGCAACUCGCCUGCAUGAAGCUGGAGUUGCUAGUAACCGCGCGUCAGCUAUAGUGCGGUGAAUACGUUCCCGGGGCUUGUACACACCGCCCGUCACGUCAUGGGAGUCGGUAACGCCUGAAGCUGGUAGUCUGGCCCGCAAGGGGGGACGCCAUCAAAGGCGGGGCU
rnacentral:rRNA from 1 species